rnacentral:rRNA from 1 species
CCUACGGGAGGCAGCAGUGAGGAAUAUUGGUCAAUGGCCGUAAGGCUGAACCAGCCAAGUCGCGUGAAGGAAGAAGGAUCUAUGGUUUGUAAACUUCUUUUAUAGGGGAAUAAAGGUAUCCACGUGUGGAUAUUUGCAUGUACCCUAUGAAUAAGCAUCGGCUAACUCCGUGCCAGCAGCCGCGGUAAUACGGAGGAUGCGAGCGUUAUCCGGAUUUAUUGGGUUUAAAGGGUGCGUAGGUUGUUUGUUAAGUCAGAGGUGAAAGUUUGUGGCUCAACCAUAGAAUUGCCGUUGAAACUGGAAGACUUGAGUGUAGUUGAGGUAGGCGGAAUGCGUGGUGUAGCGGUGAAAUGCAUAGAUAUCACGCAGAACUCCGAUUGCGAAGGCAGCUUACUAAGCCAUAACUGACGCUGAGGCACGAAAGCGUGGGGAGCAAACAGGAUUAGAUACCCCAGUAGUC